rfam:Necator americanus N_americanus-1.0_Cont229.3, whole genome shotgun sequence.
CCAACGGCCCUCUUUAGGGCCACCAACUUGCGAAUAAAUAAAUAA